AUUAAACGCUGGCGGCAUGCCUUACACAUGCAAGUCGAACGGUAGCGCGGGGCAACCUGGCGACGAGUGGCGAACGGGUGAGUAAAGCAUCGGAACGUGCCCUGGAAUGGGGGAUAACGUAGCGAAAGUUACGCUAAUACCGCAUAUUCUGUGAGCAGGAAAGCAGGGGAUCGCAAGACCUUGCGUUCUGGGAGCGGCCGAUGUCGGAUUAGCUAGUUGGUGGGGUAAAAGCCUACCAAGGCGACGAUCCGUAGCGGGUCUGAGAGGAUGAUCCGCCACACUGGGACUGAGACACGGCCCAGACUCCUACGGGAGGCAGCAGUGGGGGAAUUUUUGGACAAUGGGCGGAAGCCUGAUCCAGCCAUGCCGCGUGAGUGAAGAAGGCC
rnacentral:rRNA from 1 species